rnacentral:rRNA from 1 species
AUUGAACGCUGGCGGCAGGCUUAACACAUGCAAGUCGAGCGGGGGAAGGUAGCUUGCUACUGGACCUAGCGGCGGACGGGUGAGUAAUGCUUAGGAAUCUGCCUAUUAGUGGGGGUCAACAUCUCGAAAGGGAUGCUAAUACCGCAUACGUCCUACGGGAGAAAGCAGGGGAUCUUCGGACCUUGCGCUAAUAGAUGAGCCUAAGUCAGAUUAGCUAGUUGGUGGGGUAAAGGCCUACCAAGGAGACGAUCUGUAGCGGGUCUGAGAGGAUGAUCUGCCACACUGGGACGGAGACACGGCCCAGACUCCUACGGGAGGCAGCAGUGGGGAAUAUUGGACAAUGGGGGGAACCCUGAUCCAGCCAUGCCGCGUGUGUGAAGAAGGCCUUAUGGUUGUAAAGCACUUUAAGCGAGGAGGAGGCUACUUUAGUUAAUACCUAGAGAUAGUGGACGUUACUCGCAGAAUAAGCACCGGCUAACUCUGUGCCAGCCGCCGCAGUAA